GAUGAACGCUGGCGGCGUGCCUAAUACAUGCAAGUCGAGCGAACAGACGAGGCGCUUGCUCCUCUGACGUUAGCGGCGGACGGGUGAGUAACACGUGGAUCCCCUACCUAUCAGACUGGGAUCACUUCGGGACACCGGAGCUAAUACCGGAUAAUAUCUUGCACCGCAUGGUUCAUUGGAAAAAGUCGGCUUUGCUGUCUCUACUCGAGGCUUCCCGGCCGGUUUGGCUGGUUGUUACGGUCACGGCUUACCAAGGCAAGGAUACGUAGCCGACCUGAGAGGGUGAUCGGCCACACUGGAGCGGAGACGCGGACCAGACUCCUACGGGAGGCAGCAGUAGGGAAUCGGCCGCAAUGGGCGAAAGCCUGACGGAGCAACGCCGCGUGAGUGAUGAAGGUCUUCGGAGCGUAAAACUCUGUUAUUAGGGAAGAACAAAUGUGUAAGUAACUAUGCACGUCUUGACGGUACCUAAUCAGAAAGCCACGGCUAACUACGUG
rnacentral:rRNA from 1 species